GUCAGGAUGGCCGAGUGGUCUAAGGCAUCAAGUUCAGGCCUUGAGGCGUGGGUUCGAAUCCCACUUCUGACA